rnacentral:lncRNA from 1 species
UCCUACAAGCAUGUGGUACAAUUGUAGCAAUGUGACAAGGAAAUCACUUUAAAAAGACUGAUAUAUAUUAAUUUAAGGUCGCCAACGAAUUCAGCUAUGUAAUUCCUAAAUGAAAACUCAAAUCAGCAGUCAAUCUUUUAUGGAGUUUAAUUACAACAGGAGGAAGAAAGGAAUUAGAGAUAGAGAGAGAGAGGGAGAGAGCGAGAGAGAGAGAGAGAGAGAGAGAGAGAGAGAGAGCCCCCAAAAGCCUUUGAAUCAGUUUCAAUACCUUCUGGAUCUCGGCCCAGGUGAGAUUACAAGGCAUUCUGGGGAAGUGGAGCAAAGGCUCGUGGGGAUUGUAGUCCUGUAUUCGAGUCUAUUUUUUACAGUGAGUACAUACUUCUUUGGCACACAAUCAAUUUUCUACAUAUGUUUCCAUAGAACUUAACAACAGAUAUGUAGCCUAGGGAGAUAGGAAAUGAAACAUUGUUGCUAUAGAUGAAUGACAUAAACAGGGUGAUUUGGAGAUUAGUUCUCCCUGACCUAAGAAGAAUCAUUGUUACUUUUGGUCGUCUUUCACAAUCAAUCAUAAUUACUUAGGAGAUAGAGAACAAAACAUUUUGCAUCUAAGCACAGGGUUAGAAGGAAAUUUGAGACAGACCAGAUUUGGGGUUUUCCUCAAUUUAGAAGUACUAUUUUUCUUGUGUUACUUUAAAGCAUCUGGAAAUGUUGCCUGUUUUCUGUCUGCAGUGGAAUGUUAUCUUGAAGGUGAUUGAUGUUCUUGGCUUGCCUGGCUUGUAAUGGGAGUGAAUGUAACUCUGUGAAGAGGGAAAGGAGAGGGGUAAUAGGUAAUGAUCUUUAGGUUUUUAACUCUGUGAAUGUAAUUUUUUAAGGUAAUAAUCUAGGAGGAUUUAAGUGGGAUACAUGUGUGUCAACCCUAUAAAUAUUUGCUCUCAUAUUAUUUCUCCUGUAUUGGGGAGAGAACAAUAAUAAUAACAAGUUCAUUAGUAAGGGAAGUUGGAGAGAGAGAAGUCACAGAGGGGGAUCAGUGGGGGCUUCAUUUUCUGGGGGCUGCCUUGCAGUCUCCAUUUCCCCAGACUGUGACUCUGUCAGACAGCAGGGGUGAUGGCUUCCCACAAAUUGUCACAUUUUAAUUAGAGGGGGAAAAAUCUGAAGUAAAAGGGAAAUAUGAUUCCCUGGUCUGAUUUUACCUUCAAUCUCAGGGAUAAGGGAGCCAAAAUGAAAGCCAAACUAAGGUACUUGUGGAAAUCUGACUUGGGGAAGUUUAACAUCUGAAUUAAUCAAAUAGCUACUUCCUUGAACCACAAAACAAAUCCUCUGUGUUGGCGUAGAUCCUCAUCAACGCCACAAGGAUUGUUGGUCUCCUUCACCUUGUGCCUCUUUGCACUGUGCAGUGACUCUGUUGUGAGCCCUUCUUUUGAAAUCAG